UUUCCCUAUGAUGACAUUAACAGGAACCAUGCUAAUGUAGCUGAUAAUUUUUUCAUGAAUGAUCCAUUCUUUCUUAGUUCCUGAGGGAAUA